ACCGAAUCAUGUGGUGUAGUUGGUAGCGCCUUUACAUAAUAAUUAUAUGUCCCAGGUUCAAGUCCUGGCCUGGGUA